CAGGAGGAAUGGGAAAUGGGCAUUCAAGGACAUGGCAGUAUGCUAUGCUCUGUACAUCAGGACCUCAUGGAAACCAGAAAGCCCGAGGUCUUGGAAUCCUGAACAGUGUUCCAGGUAGCCAAAGCUGGUCUGCAGAAUGAAGCUGAUGUGCACAAAGAUAUUCUGCCUUCAACGGAGGUGUGAGGAUCAGCUCCGUCUGGGUCAUGCCUGGAGUCCAGCUUCUCUCCUCUCCCAAAAUGACUCCGAUUUGGUGCUCAACCUUGUGAUCACAGAUUGCCAAUAAACGAUUAGCUUGAAAA